rnacentral:rRNA from 1 species
CGCAUCUGUGCAUGCAGCAUAUCAAUAAGCGGAGGAAAAGAAACUAACAAGGAUUCCCUCAGUAACGGCGAGUGAAGCGGGAAGAGCUCAAAUUUGAAAUCUUGAAAGGUCACCUUUCACGAAUUGUAGUUUAAAGAAGUGUUUUCUGUUACGAUCGUAAUAUAAGUUCUUUGGAAUAGGACAUCAUAGAGGGUGAGAAUCCCGUAUAUUGACCAUGAUUUGUCAGCUUUGUGAUACACUUUCAAAGAGUCGGAUUGUUUGGGAAUGCAGUCCAAAAUGGGUGGUAAAUUUCAUCUAAAGCUAAAUAUUGGCGAGAGACCGAUAGCGAACAAGUACCGUGAGGGAAAGAUGAAAAGAACUUUGAAAAGAGAGUUAAACAGUACGUGAAAUUGUCAAAGGGAAGCGUUUGACACCAGUGUUGUUUUUCUCGAAAAUCAAUUAAAAAUGGCUCGAUUUUGUAUUGCUUGAGACCUUAAAAGCUCACUGUACAUUUUUCGUGUCUUUUUUAAUGCACCUUUCGUUUAACAAGUCAACAUCAGUUUCUUUUGUUGUAAAAGGGUCAUUGGAAGGUGGCUUUCUUUUCGGAGAAAGUGUUUAUAGCCUUUGGCCUCUGCAAUCGAAGAGACUGAGGUCUGCAGCGUAGACUCUUCGGGGUUAGAUACAUUUGUGCUAAGUUAUAGCUUUUUAUAGACAACUUGUUGACUAUAAUUAGUCUUGUAGCUUACUCGCUUAUGCUAUUUUACCUACGCUUAGGAUGUUGACGAUCAGCUGAGCGCG